GGGUGUGGGGGAUAGUUCACUGUGGCACCAGUGACCUCAUGGAUAACCAGGGUUGGUUGGCUGGGCAGGUGACCCCCCUAUCCCUGCUGCUCUGUUCAUGCCAUCCCUUGAGCUACAGGACAGACACAGGGAGAGCCAAGGUGGAAAAAGACAACCUCCUUGACUGAGGGAGGCACAAGCUGGAGUCAAGUUUGAGAGAGGAGCUGUGAUUCCCAUUAGUAUCUUAUCACCUCCCUGGGCCCCAGCUUCCUUAUCUAUAAAACAGAUUAGGCGGAUGCUGUCUGACUUG
ensembl:misc_RNA 7SK 7SK RNA